rnacentral:rRNA from 1 species
UACAGAGGGGGCAAGCGUUGUUCGGAAUUACUGGGCGUAAAGCGCGUGUAGGCGGUCCGGUAAGUCCGCUGUGAAAGUCGAGGGCUCAACCCUCGAAUGCCGGUGGAUACUGUCGGGCUUGAGUACGGGAGAGGCGAGUGGAAUUCCUGGUGUAGCGGUGAAAUGCGCAGAUAUCAGGAGGAACACCGAUUGCGAAGGCAGCUCGCUGGAACGUUACUGACGCUGAGACGCGAAAGCGUGGGGAGCAAACAGG